GGCUCAGGAGGAACGCUAGCGAUAGGCCUAAACAUGCAAGUCGAGGGGCAGCAUAGGGUAGCAAUACUUUCGAUGGCGGACCGGCGCACGGGUGAGUAACGCGUAUGCAACCUACCUAUAACAGGGGCAUAACCCGGAGAGACUCGGACUAAUACCGCAUAAAACAGGGGCUCCGCAUGGAGAUAUUGUUAAAGAUUUAUCGGUUAUAGAUGGGCAUGCGUUCCAUUAGCCAGUUGGUGAGGUAACGGCUCACCAAAGCAACGAUGGAUAGGGGAACUGAGAGGUUUGUCCCCCACACUGGAACUGAGACACGGACCAGACUCCUACGGGAGGCAGCAGUGAGGAAUAUUGGUCAAUGGGCGAGAGCCUGAACCAGCCAAAUCGCGUGAAGGAAGACUGCCUUAUGGGGUUGUAAACUUCUUUUAUACAGGAAUAAAAAGAGUUACGUGUAACUUAUUGCAUGUACUGUAUGAAUAAGCAUCGGCUAACUCCGUGCCAGCAGCCGCGGUAAUACGGAGGAUGCGAGCGUUAUCCGGAUUUAUUGGGUUUAAAGGGUGCGCAGGCGGGAACUUAAGUCAGCGGUGAAAUCUCGACGCUUAACGUCGAAACUGCCGUUGAAACUGGGUUUCUUGAGUAUAGAUGAAGUAGGCGGAAUUCGUUGUGUAGCGGUGACAUGCUUAGAUAUAACGAGGAACUCCGAUUGCGUAGGCAGCUUACUAAGCUAUAACUGACGCUCAAGCACGAAAGCGUGGGGAUCAAACAGGAUUAGAUACCCUGGUAGUCCACGCCGUAAACGAUGAUUACUAGUUGUAUGCGAUAUACGGUAUGUGACUAAGCGAAAGCG
rnacentral:rRNA from 1 species